UCCUACGGGAGGCAGCAGUGGGGAAUUUUGGACAAUGGGCGAAAGCCUGAUCCAGCAAUGCCGCGUGUGUGAAGAAGGCCUUCGGGUUGUAAAGCACUUUUGUCCGGAAAGAAAUCCUUGGCUCUAAUACAGUCGGGGGAUGACGGUACCGGAAGAAUAAGCACCGGCUAACUACGUGCCAGCAGCCGCGGUAAUACGUAGGGUGCGAGCGUUAAUCGGAAUUACUGGGCGUAAAGCGUGCGCAGGCGGUUUGCUAAGACCGAUGUGAAAUCCCCGGGCUCAACCUGGGAACUGCAUUGGUGACUGGCAGGCUAGAGUAUGGCAGAGGGGGGUAGAAUUCCACGUGUAGCAGUGAAAUGCGUAGAGAUGUGGAGGAAUACCGAUGGCGAAGGCAGCCCCCUGGGCCAAUACUGACGCUCAUGCACGAAAGCGUGGGGAGCAAACAGGAUUAGAUACCCUGGUAGCCCACGCCCUAAACGAUGUCAACUAGUUGUUGGGGAUUCAUUUCCUUAGUAACGUAGCUAACGCGUGAAGUUGACCGCCUGGGGAGUACGGUCGCAAGAUUAAAACUCAAAGGAAUUGACGGGGACCCGCACAAGCGGUGGAUGAUGUGGAUUAAUUCGAUGCAACGCGAAAAACCUUACCUACCCUUGACAUGGUCGGAAUCCCGCUGAGAGGUGGGGGUGCUCGAAAGAGAACCGGCGCACAGGUGCUGCAUGGCUGCCGUCAGCUCGUGUCGUGAGAUGUUGGGUUAAGUCCCGCAACGAGCGCAACCCUUGUCCUUAGUUGCUACGCAAGAGCACUCUAAGGAGACUGCCGGUGACAAACCGGAGGAAGGUGGGGAUGACGUCAAGUCCUCAUGGCCCUUAUGGGUAGGGCUUCACACGUCAUACAAUGGUCGGAACAGAGGGUUGCCAACCCGCGAGGGGGAGCUAAUCCCAGAAAACCGAUCGUAGUCCGGAUUGCACUCUGCAACUCGAGUGCAUGAAGCUGGAAUCGCUAGUAAUCGCGGAUCAGCAUGCCGCGGUG
rnacentral:rRNA from 1 species